UUUUAAAUUUAGAGUUUGAUCCUGGCUCAGGACGAACGCUGGCGGCGUGCUUAACACAUGCAAGUCGAGCGAUGAAGCUUCCUUCGGGAAGAGGAUUAGCGGCGGACGGGGGAGUAACACGUGGGUAACCUGCCUCAAAGUGGGGGAUAGCCUUCCGAAAGGAAGAUUAAUACCGCAUAAUAUA
rnacentral:rRNA from 1 species